UACGUAGGGUGCGAGCGUUGUCCGGAAUUACUGGGCGUAAAGAGCUCGUAGGUGGUUUGUCGCGUUGUUCGUGAAAACUCACAGCUUAACUGUGGGCGUGCGGGCGAUACGGGCAGACUGGAGUACUGCAGGGGAGACUGGAAUUCCUGGUGUAGCGGUGGAAUGCGCAGAUAUCAGGAGGAACACCGGUGGCGAAGGCGGGUCUCUGGGCCGAUACUGACGCUGGAGGAGCGAAAAGCGUGGGGAGCGAACAGG
rnacentral:rRNA from 1 species